AGAUCUGGCAUCUUGGAGAGAAGGUGUCUCUGCAGCUGCUAGAGGCUGAUGCUUCCAGAAGGCCCAGUAGAGAAAAGUACACCACAUUGGUUCAGAAUAUGAAAAUGUAAAAGAAAGAAGGUUGCUCAAGAGAAGACAAAGGAGUUCAAUAAAAUGCACAAGAUUGGCAGCUACAUGGGAAUAAUAUGCUAAAAACAUGGAUUAAGCAGUGUUGGAUUUUAUCAGCAACAGUUGGAUAACGUCACUUUAAAUUGCUUUUUGUAUCAGGCUGCUAUGUUGAAACUAUUGUCAAAAUAUGGACUUGGGCCAUUCAUUGGAGGAUUUAUCAUUUGUGUGAAAGAUGGUAAAAGUAUUAUGGAAAUUACACUUCUCAUAUUUGUUUUGCAUCAGUGUCCAAACUCACCAAGAUUUUUAUUUUUGAUCUGCCCUAGCAAAUUACUGUGUUUUAUGUUUGAUGUGUUACAGAGCUGUAAUACUGUCUUAUUAUUGGUUUGGAUGAUGUCAUGGUACAGAAAAAAUGAUGACAAAGCAGGUUGUAAAGUCAUCCAAAAUAUAGUUUGUGUUUCCUGAUAUAAUUGUGUAAACUAUGGGGUAUUCAUGCAUGUGCGAGUGUGCUGUAUCUGUGUAUAUCAUACCUCUUAGAAAAAUCCAAUAUUAUUAUUAUAUUGCAGAACUGCCCAUUGAUUCCAGUAAGGACAAGGGUUGCAUUGUGCUCUGGGCUGUAUAAAAACAUAUGAAGACAUGAUUCUUGCCAAGGAUAUAACUUUCCUAUAAUUUUUGAACCAUUCUGCAGAAUUUGAUAGAUAAUUAAAUCCCUGCUACACAAUCCUAUAAGUGGAAAGGUUAUCAAUCUCCAUUAACUAUGAUGGACGUUUAAGAGAAAGUCUAUAGAACCCUAUUCAAUUCUAAUAGAAUCCUAUAGGUUAACUUUGCUUUUAAAUUUAUUAGCAUUUUCCACAUAUAUUGGAGUGUGUGUAUCUGUAUCCAGAGCAAUAUAUUUCAGAGUUAAGAGUUGUGAUGUGCAGGAAUUUAAAUGUCUAUCCGUCUUCAAUACCACACAGUUCCUAUGGCCAAUCAAGACUUGGCCUGAUCACUACUCCCAAAAGUAUUCAGGUUGGUUGUAAGAUACCAGGGUUAAUUAGAGAGACUGACUGCCAGGGAGAGCACUCUAGAGGUCUCCAACCUUCUGCCCCAGGGCACUAGAAUGAAGAAGAGGAAUUAAUGGGAAUGAAGUGAGAGAAGAAUAAGAGGAGUUUGUCCUAUGAAUGUAGCCAGCAGACAAAUACUUGGGGGGAAUCAUUCACAGAUACUUCCACAGAUACGGAGCCAGAUAGUCCAUAGCUCAAAGUGGGCUGGUGUACUGUGUUACUUUGUUGUACUAUUUUUGCUAACCUUGUGCGAGCAUAAGCAAAAAUCUUUUAAUGUUCAAUUCAGUGCUGGCAGAUAGCACUUAAAAGAUCGAGUCCAGCAAGUUUUGCCUUGGUUGUCCUCUGAGAGCAAUAGGAUGGGGAUAGGGAUACAGUAAUGACAACAAAGAACGACGGAUGGGAGGAAAGCAACAUGGGAUGUGGAGGAGAGAGAGGUGAGAACACAGUCAGACUGGUCAGGAGGAAAGGCGGCAAGGCUACUAAAUGGAAGAGGUGAAGCAGGAAAUAGGACCACGUUAGAAAAGAAUGAGACAAUACAGCAAACUACACAGAAUAGAAGGGCAGUAAAAGAGGGAAAUCCCAAGAAAAAGGGUGAUUAGGAAGAAAAGAAAGUAAAUGGAGAACAAGUCCCACCUCUAUGGAGAGGAUGCCUUUGAGUACUGAAUUUCCAGUUAGGGCUAGCUUGGAUCUCUCUUCAGGCCUGAUCCAAAUCCCAUUAAAGUCAAUGGGAAGUUCUCAGUUGUCUUUAAUAAGCAGUGGAUCAUGCCCAUUGUCAUUAAGUUCAAUCUUCUACAUUUCCUAUAUUGUUCUCUGGUAUGCACCUUCUUUUGGAUAUUUCCAUUCGUAGUGUCUUUGUUUUUCCUUAUGCUGUAUCUAAUCUAAUGUUGCUUUCACAGUGUGUAUUGGUCAAAGUGAAACCUCAAAUGGCAAAUAAAAAUCAGAAAUGCUCAGAAAAUAAUAGAACCAAGUGCCUGGGAUUUGCAAAUAACUGCUGUCAAAAAAUCAAUACAAAGGGAGAUAAUAAAAACAUAUUUUUAGAC